UACAGGGGGGGCAAGCGUUGUUCGGAAUUACUGGGCGUAAAGGGCUCGUAGGUGGCCAACUAAGUCAGACGUGAAAUCCCUCAGCUUAACUGGGGAACUGCGUCUGAUACUGGAUGGCUUGAGUUUGGGAGAGGGAUGCGGAAUUCCAGGUGUAGCGGUGAAAUGCGUAGAUAUCUGGAGGAACACCGGUGGCGAAGGCGGCAUCCUGACCAACACUGACACUGAGGAGCGAAAGCCAGGGGAGCAAACGGG
rnacentral:rRNA from 1 species